rnacentral:antisense_RNA from 1 species
AGGAACUGGAGCUGCUGCCUCUGUCUGCUAAGAUGUGAAGUCCAAGACUGAAAGUAACAUAGCAGAAGGAGAACCAAAAGAUAUGUUGAGUCUUGAUGCUAUUUGUUGAACCAGUCCUGAAUCCAGCUGUGUCGGAGUCAGCGCAGCUUUUGAAGCUGGAGAGCAUCAUAUUUUAGAAAGAUCAAGCAAUGUGGAUGAGGACACAUUAAAAAGAGAAGACCUGGAGGAGGGGACACCACUCAGGCUUAUAACCUCCAGCUCACAUUUCAGCACCAAAGGACCAAAGCCUAGACCUGAGAUGUGGCACUUGCAAAAAGAAAGAUCACCUGGAAGAACAAAAUAGAAGACUCCUGCUCCCAAUAGGCUUGGGUCAGGAAGAAGGCUGUUGGCAUAAUUGUGGAGUAGGAAGAUGGAAAACAACUCCUAGAGAUCCCAACAGCUGAACGCGUGCUUGGGCAGUGGCUGCAGGUGAAGUCAUGGGAAGGCAAGUCAUGAAGGGCAUUAAUCAAGGUCUGUUGUGGGGAAAGUGAGAUGAUGUGAGUCCUUGUUCACACAGUAGGUGCCCAGAAAACCUUGGUGCUUUUCCUCUUCCCUUCCCUGAAGCUGAACUUCUGCAGAAAAAUCCAAGAGAGUGGACUGAUCAAGUUGAAAGCAACAGAACAAGCAUCUAUAAGAAUUGAUUAUAUGUCCCAGCAUUUCGGGAGGCUGAGGCAAGUGGAUCCCUUGGGCCUAGGACUUCGCGAGACCAGUUGGGCAACAUGAACAAGAUGGAAGAAACUACGGUCACAUAUGCAAAUGGAGAAGAUGAUGAACACAGAAAAAUUAUGCAAAGAUAAUCCCUAAACCUUCUUUCUCAUCAAAAGUUAUAGCAAGGCGGUUUAAUAUAUCACUGACGGAACAUGAUGCUUUGUUUAAUGAAGACUCAGACGGAAAGGAUCAGACAUCAACCUAUAAAUGCAUCAACCAGAAGGAAAGACCAAUUUUGAAAACUGUUGACCAUUAUUCUAUACCUCUAGCUGUUCUUUUCUGAACCAUGAAUCGGGAGAAUUAUUGUCACUCAUACAUGAGUAUGAGUUGUAAUUCUCAAUUCCCAAGUAAAAAUCUUCCUGCUUUUGUUA